AACGCAUAUUGCGCUCGAGCCCUCGGGCAAGAGCAUGUCUGCCUCAGCGUCGGUUUACACCCUCACCCCUCCCAACUUUGUUUGGGCGUGCCGGCUUCUCUAGCUGGCCAUAGGAGUGGAUCUGGCUUCCCCAAUCUGCCAUCUGGCGGGUUGGGCUAGCUGAAGUGCAGAGGCUUAAGCAAGGACCCGUUAUGGGCUUCAACUGGAUAGGUAGCACCGGCUUCUGCCGACUACACGAAGUUGUGGCUUGUGGAUCUUGCUAGGGGCCAAGCAGGAACGUGCCUUUGGCAUGUCUAAACUUUCGACUGAGCUCAGGCAAGGCUACCCGCUGAACUUAA
rnacentral:misc_RNA from 1 species